rnacentral:rRNA from 1 species
GACGAACGCUGGCGGCGUGCCUAAUACAUGCAAGUUGAGCGAUGAAGAUUGGUGCUUGCCCCAAUUUGAAGAGCAGCGAACGGGUGAGUAACGCGUGGGGAAUCUGCCUUUGAGCGGGGGACAACAUUUGGAAACGAAUGCUAAUACCGCAUAACAACUUUAAACAUAAGUUUUAAGUUUGAAAGAUGCAAUUGCAUCACUCAAAGAUGAUCCCGCGUUGUAUUAGCUAGUUGGUGAGGUAAAGGCUCACCAAGGCGAUGAUACAUAGCCGACCUGAGAGGGUGAUCGGCCACAUUGGGACUGAGACACGGCCCAAACUCCUACGGGAGGCAGCAGUAGGGAAUCUUCGGCAAUGGACGAAAGUCUGACCGAGCAACGCCGCGGGAGUGAAGAAGGUUUUCGGAUCGUAAAACUCUGUUGGUAGAGAAGAACGUUGGUGAGAGUGGAAAGCUCAUCAAGUGACGGUAACUACCCAGAAAGGGACGGCUAACUACGUG